GGGCUGAUAGCUCAGUUGGUAGGGCGAUGGCCUUGUAACCCAGAGGUCGCCGGUUCGAAUCCGACUCAGUAUCA
rnacentral:tRNA from 1 species